rnacentral:rRNA from 1 species
UACAGAGGGGGCAAGCGUUGUUCGGAAUUACUGGGCGUAAAGCGCACGCAGGUGGCUGAGUCAGUCGAUUGUGAAAGCCCUGGGCUUAACCUGGGAAUUGCAGUCGAUACUACUCAGCUAGAGUAUGGGAGAGGGUAGUGGAAUUCCCGGUGUAGCGGUGAAAUGCGUAGAUAUGCGGAGGAACACCGAUGGCGAAGGCAAUCCCCUGGACCUGUACUGACGCUCAUGCACGAAAGCGUGGGGAGCAAACAGG